rnacentral:piRNA from 1 species
UGGAGAGCAGCGAUAUCAAACAAAUGGAGC